rnacentral:lncRNA from 1 species
GUGGUUUUAGCUGCCAGUUCUAAUGCAGCCUUCCAUUCCUUUCCUUAAUGGGCAGAUAUGUAAGUCAGGCAUCUGCUCUUCGUGUGCAUAUUAUCUGUUUUCCAAGAGAACAGCAUGUGCAUAACCUUUGAGCACUAAUGUUCUCAUAAGUUACCUGGAUAAGAUAUUAAGGCUGCAAUCCUCUAGCACUUCCUCGGGAGUUGCAUUGAAUUUAGUGGAGCUCACUUCUGGAUACAGAAAAUGCACAGGAUUUGACUAUCAGAAAAAUUGUUGGAUGGAGAUUUUUCUGGAAUAUUAGAGCAUUCCCUGUAACUUGCAACGAGUUCAGGACUUCUACCACCACUCUAGCAUGUGCUGAAAAGGAGACAUAGAACUGGACACAAACUGGGUACUGAUAACAUUUCAUCUGGAUGACGUCACCCACUAGUCUUGCAGAUAUUUAAAAGUCUGGAGAAGAUGGAAACCUAUCUGCAGCCCUCUCACAAACUGCAACACCUCAUAAUCUGAUGACAAUAGAAGGGAGUAAUGAUUCUCAGACUCCGGUGUCUCAGAUGUAGCCCAAGUUCCCAGAACUAUCACUGCAGAUCAUAAUGAAACCCAUUUGAAUGUCAGCCUAAAACAGAAAAGAGAGAGGAAGAGAAGUGUUUUAAAAUGAACUGAGACUGACUGACCCCUGGUGUCCUGGUGUGAUCAAGAUCAAGGAUCUUACCAUCGAAUCAGAUGAAUUGCUGUUCUCAGGGCAAAGUGAGAAGGAAAUGUCAAAACUGUGAAACAGUGGUGCAUAGAGAUCCCUCACUCUGGAGCUCAACCAGCUUUUGUGAGAGCCCCUGCGAUUUGUCAAAUGGUUGUGGCAUAAGUCAAGCUCUGGGGUUGAAAGGUCUUGACCUAAGGAGUGCUAGAAUCAGACAGUAA